UACGGGGGGGGCAAGCGUUGUUCGGAAUUACUGGGCGUAAAGGGCGCGUAGGCGGCCAGCACAAGUCAGUUGUGAAAUCUCCGAGCUUAACUCGGAAAGGUCAACUGAUACUGUGCGGCUAGAGUGCAGAAGGGGCAACUGGAAUUCUUGGUGUAGCGGUGAAAUGCGUAGAUAUCAAGAGGAACACCUGCGGCGAAGGCGGGUUGCUGGGCUGACACUGACGCUGAGGCGCGAAAGCCAGGGGAGCGAACGGG
rnacentral:rRNA from 1 species